AUUGAACGCUGGCGGCGUGCUUAACACAUGCAAGUCGAUCGGUAACAGGUGUAGCAAUACAUGCUGACGAGAGGCGGACGGGUGAGGAAUAUUUGGGAAUCUGCCCAUCAGCGGGGGACAACCCGGGGAAACCCGGGCUAAUACCGCAUACGCUCUACGGAGGAAAGCCGGGGACCGCAAGGCCGGGCACUGCUGGAUGAGCCCAAAUCGGAUAAGCUAGUUGGCGGGGUAACGGCCCACCAAGACGACGAACCGUAGCUGGUCUGAGAGGACGAUCAGCCACACCGGAACUGAGACACGGUCCGGACUCCUACGGGAGGCAGCAGUGGGGAAUAUUGGACAAUGGGGGAAACCCUGAUCCAGCGACGCCGCGUGGGUGAAGAAGGCCUGCGGGUUGUAAAGCCCUUUCGGUAGGGACGAAAGCUCUUGCUCUAAUAAUGCAAGAGGUUGACUUAACCUACAUAAGAAGCACCGGCUAACUCUGUGCCAGCCGCCGCCGUAA
rnacentral:rRNA from 1 species